GGAUCCGUAGCUCACUUGGCUAGAGCGUCUGAUUGACGUUCAGAAGGUAAGAGGUUCAAAUCCUCUCGGAUCCACCA
rnacentral:tRNA from 1 species